CCUACGGGUGGCAGCAGUGGGGAAUAUUGCACAAUGGGGGAAACCCUGAUGCAGCGACGCCGCGUGAGCGAUGAAGUAUUUCGGUAUGUAAAGCUCUAUCAGCAGGGAAGAAAAUGACGGUACCUGACUAAGAAGCCCCGGCUAACUACGUGCCAGCAGCCGCGGUAAUACGUAGGGGGCAAGCGUUAUCCGGAUUUACUGGGUGGAAAGGGAGCGUAGACGGCGAUGCAAGCCAGAUGUGAAAGCCCGGGGCUCAACCCCGGGACUGCAUUUGGAACUGUCUAGCUGGCGUGUCGGAGAGGCAGGCGGAAUUCCUAGUGUAGCGGUGAAAUGCGUAGAUAUUAGGAGGAACACCAGUGGCGAAGGCGGCCUGCUGGACGAUGACUGACGUUGAGGCUCGAAAGCGUGGGGAGCAAACAGGAUUAGAUACCCUUGUAGUC
rnacentral:rRNA from 1 species